rnacentral:lncRNA from 1 species
UUUCUCUUUCUAUAAUGAUCCCUCUGUGACAUCUCCCUAACAAACUAACCUAUGUAAUAAAACAUGUUACAUGUUCUGUUUCCCUCUGUUUCCAGCUCAUUUGAUGUUACAAGGUGUUAAUUGUUAAAACACAAAAUGAAUAAAAGCAAGAGUAGUUAGAACAAUCAAGUUAAAUUUGCUAUUUACAAAUGAAUUGCUCCAGUUUGAGUUUUGAGUAAGCCUGCUUAAAGUUCCUUUCUUCUGUCACUACUCUGUAUAGGCACUUUACAGCUUAUCAUCGAAUAGGGUAAAGCUGUAAAACUAAAAUAGCAUGCCUGUACAUUUAAGGUAUUCUGGUUUCAUAAUUCUAAAAUUGUUAUUAGUAAAUGUGGUAUGAACGGUGAACCUAACUCCUUUCUUAAUGAGUUCCUUUCUUUUCUUCUGCCCUCUAGUCUAUCGAGAAACUUUUCCAGGGCAACUGUUUUACGGUAGUUACGCUUAAAACGUAGGUAUUGAUUAACACAGCAAGUUACUUCCAGGGAAGAAUCUUGUGCAACUAGUCUGGGGCUCUUACCCUGGCCUUGGCAUUAGAAGCGCCUCUGUAAACAGGGGAAUAAAUUAGUCACCCUACAAUACAACUCGGGCUAUUUCGACCUAAUAACAUCAAGAAAUUUUUUUAAGACAAGUUUCUCACCUACAUCACUCACUCAAACCCCUUAGCCCAUUCCUUCCGGCUUCCGUAGUCUCACUCAGUUUCGCGAGAUCUGGCCUGUGUUCCGCCCCGCUACCCCUAGGGGCGGCUCCGGAACACUUCCGGGAGAGGCAACCUUUACAGUAGAUCGAGUUGUGUGAUUCCGGCUGCUGUGAGGCUUUCUUAGCCUCACAGACCACCCGGCUCAUGUAGUGGGCACGGAACAGGGGGCUAGCAGCCCACCUGCGGCCAGGCCCUCACUCUCUAGUCAUGGACCGGGACCUUCUGCGGCAGUCCCUGAAUUGCCACGGGCCGUCAUUGCUCUCCCUACUCCGGAGUGAACAGCAGGACAAUCCGAACUUCCGGAGCCUCCUGGGGUCGGCCGUGGAGCCUGCUCGCGGUCCGCCGGCCCUGCAGCAUUUACAGGGCAGAAAAGAGAAGAGAUUUGACAACGUGGAAAUACAAAAAUUCAUCUCCAAAAAAGCGGAUUUGCUCUUUGCACUUUCCUGGAAAUCAGAUGCACCUGCAACUUCUGAAGUUCAUGAAGACAGUGAAGGUGAGUUUAGUCUUGAAAUCUCUAGGAUCA